GAAGAACUCAGCGCAUCUUUCCCCUUUUCCCUUUUACUUCUCAUUCCCUCUUCAUAUCCCUUAAAAACCAGAGAAAACGGCAAUACCAGGGUUCCCCUUUUCUUCUUCUCCAUUCCUCAUCUUCAACAGACAUACAUGCCCUCAUGAUCUGAUUUUUGCGCAUAAUUUUAGAGAACAGCUAAAAUCGGCGAAAUCGAAAAAAAAGGAUUUGAAAGCUAUGGUUAAACUUCUACUCACUUGUUCUAUUUUUCUGAAAAUUCAAGUGCAAACAAGUUUGGGAAAGAGCUUAUGAAGCUAGGAGUAGGGGCUGAUCUCGUCGAUGAUUUCACUGCUGUCCAUGUAGCUGAUUUCCAACAUAGCAUCGGUUCUUUCAGCCUUUGUCCUGGCAUUUAUUUUCGAUUUUUAUUUGUGUUUCAGGUAUGAAUCUCGAUUUGAAGAUGCUGUAAUUGUUGUUAGCUGCUUCGUUACGAUGAAAUUUGCAACAACAGUUCCCUUGUUUCUCUUAAAUUCAUUAAUGUUUUGUGCGAGCUUGAACUAUUGUUUUGCUGAAAUUUGUCGUGAACGUUCCCUUGUUUUAUGAUGUUCUGCUCCAUUUCUAGUACGGCUAACUCUUGCAAUUUCCAAUUUGCUUUCUGAAAUCCCCAUUUUAAUGAUCUUCUUCUUAUGUUGACGCCUUUAAGUCGAUUUUGGAAUUGAUGUUUAUAGAUAAUCCUAUGUUAGUUAAUCAUUCUGGUGCUUUAUCAUUUUCUCCCAUUAGUUAGCAUAGUCGUUGCUUAGUCAGUAGUGAAGCAGUUGAUAUAAAGGUUCUUGACACAGGAUAAUUCUUUGAACUCUACUCCGAAAUAUGUGAUCUUUUAACAGCUGAAUAAAAAGACAAUUCUGUGAUAGUUUUGCCCUUAACUGUUUCCAUGGAUGCAAUUACGUGCUUGGACUUGAUGAAAAGACAUUUUUGUUAAAAAAAAAACAUCUGAGUCAUAUUUUCAUAUUAUUGUUUUGUUGGCCUUGGAUUGCUGCAAUCUACAUCUUCCAAUUUUGAUGUUUAUUGAAUCUCAAGGGGUGUAACUCAAAUUUUCGAACUGACCCUUCAUCGGAAGAUCUCUCAUUUGUCAUAGCAUGUAGGCGCAUGUAUGGGUGAUUUACUAAUGUUUAGAUGAGUUCUGCAGUUUCACAUUUAUGCCAUUCACUUAUUAGGAUAUGACUUGCUAGUAAGUGAGUCUCAACUGUGAGGGAGGAGGCAAGAAGUAUGCUUUGGUGGAUCAGGGUUUUCAAUUCCUAUUCAUGUGCAAUUACCUCACACUUGGAUAAUGCUAUUAGUGUAUUUCAAACUUCUUAUUUGAUUUUUCAUACUUAGUGGGUUACCUUCAAUUAUUUUAUUUUUCUUGUUCGUUUUAAAUCUAUUUAGCAACUGGACCUCAUAUUUGUGUUAGUAAGGGAUAUUUUUGGUAUAUAAGUACUAACUUGAAAGUUGGGUUUUAAUGGUAUUUCAAUUGCUGGAAAUUUGCAUCUUUUGUUGUUCUUUUUCAAUCAUUUUAUUGCUUGAAUUCCUUUUGGUUAAUAUUGAAGAUUUUGACAGAAAUUUGAAUAUUGGAUGCAUUCAAAAUGAAUGUCUUUCCUUCGUUGUCUCACUUGAUUAUUCAACAAAGUUGAAGGAACGAGAAUUCUGGGCUUUAUGUUCCAAGUGUAGUUGCUGAUUAGCUUAUGGAAACAUUGGUUGUCUCUGCUUGGUAAUCACAGUGACUAUAUUAUCAUAGCAAUAAUAGUCUGCAUUAUCAAUAAAUCAAAUAUCGUAGCUUGCUUUAGACGCGAUUGAUAAACCAUCGUGAUUAUGGGUACGAUUUUUGUGACAUAGUUACUAUUCUUAAUUUUCCAAAUUCGGGUGUGCAUUUCAUGUGACCCGAUCAUAACAACUUCGAAUAUUAAUAAAUACACAUGUCGUGAAUCGCGGGUGCAUUUCAUGCAGCGUGGUUCGUGGUGUGUUCCAAAACAAACAAGUAUACGACAAUUGUAACUUGUUCAAGAAAUAAUUCCAUAAAUCCUAAAAGCGGUUAAAAUAAUUAAAAGGCGAUUAUAAAGCAAAAAUGCACAAUAGGUUUAAAACAUGUAGUAUAUAAGAUAAUAGGCCAAUAUUAAUAGUUUAAGCAACCGUGCUAGAACCACGGAACCCGGGAAUGCCUAACACCUUCUCCCAGAUUAACAUAAUUCCUUACUUAGAAUUUCUGGUUCGCAGGCUUUUAAAAUAAAGUCGAAAUUUCCUCGAUUUUGGGUUUUAAAAUAAACCGGUGACUUGAGACACCAAAUAAACUAUUCCAAGUGGCGACUCUGAAAUAAAUAAAAUAAAAUAAAAUAAUCCCAUUUCGAAUAAUAUCACUUUAAUUGGAAAAACUCCCUUAUAUACCCCCUCGGGGUGGUAAAAAGGAGGUGUGACAGCUUUGGCAACUCUACUGGGGAUCAUAACCCAGAACUUGAGGUUCAGGGUUCAAGAAUUCGAGCUUAGAAUAGAUGUUAUACUUGGCUUUAUUUAUUAUCUGAUUUUUACAUGUUUGAGCCUAAUGUGCUAGUUGUCGCUUUUUACCGCUUUGAUAUUAUUGAACUGUAUAUAAAUUGUUAUGAAACCCUAUUCUCUCUGAGUCUUCUGAAUCAUCUGGGAAGUGUGUAUUUCGUGUGACUUCUCUUCUAUUAGAGUCAUAUCCUAAUUUUAGAACGAGGUUCAGACAAGUUGCAAAGCCGGUGAAGCUUCUGUAUUCCCGGUACGCUGCUCCCCUCCGGCUCGAGCUAUCCGCUCGAGUAGGCCAGGUCUAGAACAAUAUACCUAGGUUUUUAAACCUAGUAUAACACAGCCUCAUGCCGGAUCCCUAGUAGGAACGUUUGUUUGCGUCACGUUUAUUUGACUUUGGGGACUCAACACAGAGGUUUGGUCCGUCUAGGACAGGUGUAUCCGAAAUAAAAAGACCAUCCUGAUGCAUUUUACUUGCUACUUGUACAUUUAUUUUCUUCGGAUUGCAUGUUGACCGGCUUCUAGAAUAAGGAAGAAAAGUUGGAAAAACAAAUAUCAAAUUGAGGUAUGAGAGAGAUAACUACUCGUCUUUGAAAAUUUGGUGUCCAAAAUGUACCAAAACUCUACCAAAAAAAAGAGAGAAAAGAAAAGGAGAAAAAAAGGAAGAUUGUUUCAAAACAAUAUUUCAUGUUUUUCUGUUGCGUCAAAAUUGACCGAACUACGCGGGUCUGACUCUCACCGGAUAUGAGAUACGUAGGCAAAUCUCAUCGAUUCUGGCCCCAAUUUUAAAAAAAAAAUCCAAAAAUAUUUUCCUUUAGUUCCUUGUUUAGAAAUAUUUCCUUAGAAAAUGCAAAAAAAAAAAGAAGAAGUUUUCUUUAAACUCAAAAAAAAAGAGUAGUUUCUUUCUUUCUGAAGUCUUUCAUACGGAAAAAAUGAAAUAAUGAAAAAUCAAGGUCCAAAAUACGGGCUUUCUUCAUUUUGAAUUUUUUUUCCCAAAAAAAAAAAAUCAGAAACAAAAAUCCAAAAAUAUUCUUUUAUUCUUUCAAAGUCUUUCUUUUGUAAAUGUCCAUAAAAAUUGAGAAAUAUAAGUCCAAAAAUAUUUUCGCUUUUUUUUAAAGUACUUUCAUAAAUAUAAAAAAAAGAAAAAAAAAACUCAGAAAUCCAAAUUAUUUUUUUUAAAAAGUCCCUCUUUCGAAAAUUAAGAGGCAACAUUCAAAAUCCAACAAUAUUUUCUUUCUUCUUUAGAAAAAGAGAAAACAAAUGAAAAUUCAAACAAAAAUAUUUUCCUUUUACUUUUGAAAUUCACAAAGUUCCAAUCAAAAGAAAAGGAUUUUUAAGAAGGCUUUCUGUCAAAAAUAAAAUCAAAAUAAAAAAAAAUAAUAUAUAUUUCCUUUCUUCUUUUAAAGCAUUUCUUUUGAAAAUCCCAAAAAAAAAACUAAGAUUUGAAAAACAAUGUUUUUCUUUUGCCUCAAAGCUUUCAUGGUCUGAUUGUUAUAAAAAAAAAAGAGUUAGUUUAUUUACUCCAUUCCCAAUCUUCCUGAACUACGCAAGAUCUGAUUCGUGCGGCGCCAUGAUAUGUAGGCAAUCCCCAUCAGAUUCAAUCAUAACCAUAAAAUAAACUGAGUGAAAAAGUAAACUGAAAAAAAAAGAGAAGAAGAAAAUUGAGUGAAAAAAAGAGAAAAAGAAAAAGAGUGAAAAAAAGAGGAGCGAUAAGAAAUAAAAAAGUGACAAACAAAAGAGAAAAAGAGAGUGCCAAAAAUAAAAGAGCGGCAAAAACGAGAUGGAAAAAUCAAGAGUGAUUAAAGAGAGGCAGAAACAAAAGAAAAGACUGAAAGGGUUAGUUAAGGCCGGGAUGAAACAUGCAACUGUUCAAACACAUGGUAGAAACGUUUAACUGUUUAGGUGCAUUACAUCCAAACGUGUAAUUUUCUAUCUGUUAAGCGUCUCAUAACUAACAAGAUUGUUGGGUGUGCAAAAUAGCCAGGUUUUGUUGGUUGGUUUUGUUGGUAGUCUAGCCUCCCCUCCUUCACAAGAUCCAAAGGCACAUAUGGCCUCCGCGAGCAAUCUACCAAUUAUCGGUCCUGAGGAUAGCUUGACAUUGACUAUUCUGCAGCUAGAAUCAGCAGCUGCUGAAGAGAAUAGGAUGUUGCGUCUCCGCAUAUUGAAAAUGUGGGACGCCUGGUCUAAUGGUAGGGAACCGCCAAGUGCAAUCCCUGGGUUUCUUGAGUUGAUCCCCAUGUCAGGUGAGGUUACCAACGCCCCUGUGCCCAACCCGCUCAUCCCAUGCGGGCACCCUCCAAUGUCGUUCAAUGAUCCUGGCAUGCCUUCUGUGGUUCUCCCAUGGCGCCAGUUUCCUGGGCACCUCCAAUAUUGUUCUCUACAGCACCAGUCUACACCAGAACACAACCAACUUUACCACGGCCGUAUGUUGAGCCUCCAAUAUUCAUCUUUCAGGGUCCACAGCUUCAAUCAGAAAUAACAUAUGUGACCCCGUACUCUUUCACUCAACCUCCGCAAUAUGAUCUCUCGGUGGAGCAAGAAAAAGUGGUUAGAAAUCCCGAGCAAGAGGAAAUGGCUCGAAAGAUAAAGAGCCUGGAACAAAGCCUAAAAAACAUGCAAGGUCUGAGUGGCCAAAAUAGUGUCUCAUACUCUGACCUCUGUAUGUUUCCCCAUGUCCACUUGCCAGCUGACUUCAAGAUGCCAAAAUUUGAAAAUACAACGGGCACAGAGACCCGGUUGCUCAUCUGAAGCGAUACUGUAACCAAUUGAGGGGUGCUGGUGGAAAAGAGGAGCUGCUAAUGGCCUAUUUUGGGGAAAGCCUCACCGGAAUCGCUUCUGAGUGGUAUACGGAUCAAGAAAUUACCCAUUGGCACGUGUGGGACGAUAUGGCCUAAGAUUUUGUCCACCAGUUCCAGUAUAACGUGGACAUCGCUCCCGACAGAAACUCUUUGUCCAAUUUGAAAAAGAAAACCGCGGAAAGCUUCCGCGAAUAUGCUGUCAAAUGGCGUGAGCAAGCUGCCAGGGUAAAGCCUCCAAUGGACGAAAUUGAAAUGGUCAUGGUCUUUCUACAUGCCUAAGAGGCGGACUACUUCCAAAAAAUGAUGUCCGCUAUGGGUAAACCGUUCGCUGAGGAUAUCAAAAUUGGAGAAAUGGUUAAAAACGGUUUAAAAACAGGUCGAAUCUUGAGUCAUGCUGCUUUUAAGGCCACAUCACAGGCUGCUCAGAAUGGUUCGGAGGGUUUGAUGAACAUAAAUAGGAGUAAAGAGGGAGCCAUGAUGGCUUCAAGCUUGAGGGGGGCCCGCAGGUCAUUCAGUCAAUCAUAUAUGCUUCAUGAGGUCCCUCAACACUAUUGUCCCCUUCAAAAUGCUUCUAAUACCGUGGCACCACCUCCCUAUGCGGUGAUGAACGCGCACCCUUACACGCGGCCACAAUAUUAUCCACAAAACCGAACUCCACCUCUCAUAAAUGCCCAUCACUACCAAUCUCCAUAUAAUCCCCAACCAAAUGUUCCCCAAUCCUCGCCAAAGAGAGCCUUUCAAAAAGAUUCAGUUCACGUCUAUUGGUGAAUCGUAUUCAAGCUUGUUCCAAAAGCUAAUCAGGCUAAAUCUAUUGCAACCAUGGCCCCGAACCGGCCAAACCCCGAGUCCCCCCUCGCACCAAGCUAAUGCUAGAUGUGAAUACCACUCUGGAGCAGUGGGAUACAGUAUAGAGGACUGUUGAACCCUCAAAAGGGCAGUUGAAGAUUUGAUUGAAGCUGAAAGAAUUGUUUUUUAGGAUGAAGAAGCUCUUGAUGUGAACAAUCUGUUGCCUGCACACAACAGCGGGCCAAUAGUCGAAAUGAUUUGUGAAGUUGAGGAAUUUGAUCCGGUACUAAAGGCCAUUGCAGCCAUGGCCGAAACAGAAGAAAAUCCAAAAAACGGUCGCCAAGCCUGAAAGUUCCCUAUCAGACGGGAGUCACGGUAGCCAGUCUUGCUAUCCUUUCUACGUCCGGAUUAUCUCAGGGUGUGAUCUGGAUGUUUUACUUUAUUGUCUUACUUUCCGAUAUAAAUCCUUCUAUCUACAAAAAUCAAAAAAUAAUAAUAAAAAAAAAUAAACAAAAAUAAAAUGAAAUCAAUAUUUUAUUGUCCAGGAAUGUCUCUUUUCUUAAUCUUGUCAUUUUUUUCUUAUUCUCUUUUUAGUUCUGUUAAAUGUAAAUUUCAAUAACAUGACAUGCUUGCGGACUUCAUGCCCAAAUCCUGAAAGCUGUCAGACCCCGAAAUAAUGAAUCAAGAAUUAGAUCGCAAUGAAGAUACGUUUAAGGAAAUAAAACAAAGAGUUAGAACAGCUAAAGGAAAAUUAGCUUCAGAUUGGAAAGGUCCAUACAUUGCAACAAAAAUACUGCCAAAAGAGUGUGUUCUGCUUGAGACACAUCGAAGGAAAUAUCCCUCAAACAAUUGUCAAUGCAAAUGUAGUCAAAAGGUACUAUGUUGAAUCCUCUAUAUAAUAUUAAUGUUCUCCGAUUGGGAUGAAGAAAGCCAGAAGGCUUUCUUUCUCACUAUCCAAAUAUUCAACCCUUUGCAAACCCUUUGAGUCGGUCACACCAAAACAAAAAUCCAAAUUCCCCAAAAGUGAAACUGGGGCAGAAGUUACAAUGGUUCGGCGAUGGUUUCGCCUGAAAGGUUCCAAAGUUGUAAUUUAAUCCAAAUUCUUUUUACCCCAAAUCUUGUUCAAGUCCUUCCGAUCAAUCGGUAAAAGAUGUUCAAAAUUGGAGGAUACAGUUGCUUAGAUCUGAUAAAACAAAAUGAGAGAAAUAAAAUGAGAGAGUCUUAUUGGUGAAAACCCACACGGACAUCGCGAGGCGAUGGUAAGUAGAGAAAGGAAAUGAGAGAGUCUUAUUGGUGAAAACCCACACGGGCACCGCGAGGCGACAGUAAGCAGAGAAAUUGAAAUGAGAGAGUCUUGUUAUUGAAAACUCGCAAGAGCACUACAAGGCAAUGGUGAGAAGAGAAAUAAGAGAGGCCGGCUCGUGAAAACCCGCAAAGGGCACCACUGAUCGAAAAGAAGAUCUUCAGUCACUGACACUGACGCAGUCCUAAGCAAGGUUUCUCGAUUUCGAGGCAAAAGUUGUGAUGAAUUUAUGAGAUUUGGACGGUUUGAACAGAUCAGGCAUCUAGUCCAAAAGGCAUGUCAUGUUCAUCGAAGUCCGCAUGUACUCCAGAUAAGCCCUUCUUUCCUUUACCUGAAAGGGAUACCUCUUGUCUAAAUUCAUUUAUCAAUUCCUUUGUUUGUUUUUAAUUUAAAUCCCUUUUGGUCUAACUCUAUUCAGAAACUAAGACAAAGAAGGGAUGAUAAGACUGAUUUACAGGGGUCUCAUUUCAUACAAGCCAAUAUACAAAAAGGCACCCAGCCUCGUCAGGGGGCAUUAAGUCGACCUCGAUAGCCAUGGGGACCGAUGCUUCGAAAUCAGAACUCUCGGAAGGAGAAAAUCAAAAUGAAGUGCCUACAAAGGCAAAAUGAAGUUGAAAGGUUGAGUCACACGUGACUAACUGUCUCGGCAAAGGUUUUAAAAGCCAAGGUACCCAAAUGCUCUGAAAUGGAAGUUGGAAGAAAGAAGCCAGAAAUGAAAGGCCUAUGAAGGUGAAAUAAAGUUGAAAAGGGUUAAUUCCCCCGUGACUAGCCAUUGCGACAAUGAUUGAGGAGCCAAAAGUUCCCCAAUGCUCCGAAGUUAAAAAAAAAGAAAAAAGAAAAAAAAAGGAAAAGAAACGAAAAGAAAAGGAAGUUAGAAAGGAAAGGCCUACGAAGGCAAAAUAAAGUCGAAAAGGUUGGGUUCCACCGACCAACCGUCAUGGCAAAGUCUAGAAAAAACCAGAAGUUCUCCAGGGCCUGAAAUGAAAUCGGUCCUUAGGGAACAAACAGUUGCAGCUGAGAUUUUCAUUCAAGAAGUCGGGCCGAGAUCGAGUGAUUGAAACAAUCAAGGCCACAAAACCAACCACCAUUUCAAACUAACAAUUGUUCUUUGUUUGAAAACAUGAAACAUGUGCAAUCCAAAGCAACCUUGCAAAAAGCAGAUGCAACCAAACAGAAAACUGCGCAGGGGCUAGAAACAACUUUGCGGCAAAAAUUAAUCCAAAAGGGAAGUCUCCUCUAAAUUCUUUCCUGCAUUUUAAUCAUUUUCUUAAAUAAAACAAAAAAAAUGAAAUGAAUAAGAAGAAAAAUUCAAAAUCAUGGUAGCAUAGGGUAUCCAAUCUUUAGCUACAUCCUUUCCAACAUAAGGUCCCAUUCCCUAGUCGAUGCCAGCAUAACCUGGUAAUCUUUUCUCACAUAGGGUCCCAUUCCCUAGUCAUUGUCAGCAUAACCUGGUAGUCUUCUUCAAUAUAGGGUUCCACUCCCUAGUUGAUCCCCGACAUAACCCGAGGACCUUUUUCUUUUGCGGCAUAACCCUACCACUUUCCCAGCAUAACCCGUAGACCUCCCUAGUAUAACCCGAGGACCUUUUUCUUUUCCGGCAUAACCCGAUGACUAUCCCGGCAUAACAUGUGGACCUUCCUGGCAUAACCCGUGGACCUUUUCCGGCAUAACCCGAUGACUUUCCCAGCAUAACCCGUGGACCUCCCUGGCAUAACCCGAGGACCUUUUUUUUCCGGCAUAACCCGAUGACUUUCACGUCAUAACCCGUGGACCUCCCCGGCAUAACCUGAGGACCUUUUUAUUCCCGGCAUGACCCGAUGACUUUCUCGGUAUAACCCAUGGACCUCCCCGGCAUAACCCGAGGACCUUUUUCUUUUCUGGUAUAACCCGAUGACUUUCCCGGCAUAACCCUUGGACCUCCCCAGCAUAACCCGAGGACCUUUUUCUUUUCCGGCAUAACCGAUGACCUUCCCCGACAUAACCCGAAGACCUUUUUUUCUUUCUUUUCUGGCAUAACCCGAUGACUUUCCCGGCAUAAUCCGAGGACCUUUCCGGCAUAACCCGGUCAUUUUUCCAGCAUAACCUGGUAAUCUUCCCAACUUAGGGCUUCCGAUCCCCAUUUGAUUGCAUUUUUGAUAUAGGGUCUCCACUCCCUAAUCUCUUUUUCUCAGGGAUACACAAUCCCGGUUUUAAUUGCUUUCAAUAAAGAAAUAGUUUAGAUUUUUGUUACAAUAACUCACGAAAUUUUGCUAGUGAAAACUAGGGCAGAAAAUUUUGUUCAUUUGUUCGCUUUGGUUCCUGAACAGGUUUUUACCGUGAGGCACAAGGUUUGAGAUGACCAAAAGAAGAAGUCUCAACCCAAAUAAAAGAAAAAAAGAACAAGAAAAGAAGUUGAACUCUAAUUAUAGAAACGGAGAAAAGAUGCGGACUGCUCAAGAUAUUAUUGAAGUCACAAGCUUUGCAUGUCCUGCCUUGACUCAAAAAGCUGAAGAAGAAUGAACCAGCGGUUGCAGCUAACGAGCAUCAAGAUUCAGAUCAGAGUCUGCAGGAAGAACUAGCCAAGACUCAAGAUCAAGCUUCAGAAGAUUUAUAGAUAGGAAUCUUGUAACUCGUAGUUGAUAGGCUUAGCUAGUUUAACUUUUUAUUUUUCAUUUUGGUGUAAUAAGGAGCUCAACAAGCAGAAACACUAGCAACGCAAUGAAAUCACAGUUUCUCGGUAGUCCCAGCUACCAAAACUUCCAGAACUACACCGACCUGAUUCCUUUAUAGCAAAAGAUAUGUAGGCAACCUCCAAAGCGUUCGGUCAAACGUUUUCAAAAUGCUUCCAAAUGGAGUUUCAAACAGGCAAAAAUUGCUCGUAAUUGCUCACUUUAUCUUUGCCCGAAAACUUUUCAUGUUUCCGAGUAAAGAGGGGCAACUGUGAGCACAUAAUUUUUGCCCUACAUGAAAAUAACUCCUAAAAAUAAUAUUUAUUGAUUUUUAGGAGUUUUUCUUUAUUUAGUUAUAUUUCAUGCAUUUUUAAUAUUUUAAAAUCAUGAAAAAAAACAUAAAAUAUUAUCACGUUUUAAUUUCAUGCCAUCUUAGGUUCAAUUCGCAUGUAGGAAUUAAUUUAAUUAAGCAAAAAAAAAACCCCCACAAAAAUGAUCAUUUUUACAUAUUUAGAUUUUAGCCUUUAAAAUUAGCAUUUUUCUAUAGUUUUAAGUUAAUUAGUUGUUUUAAUGUUAAAAAUAGAUAAAGAAUUUUAUUUUUUACAAAAAUAGAUUGAUUUAGGAUUUUAAUUAAUUAAAGAAAAGAAAAGGGAAAAACAAAGAAAAUGAAAAUAGGAAGAAUACAUUUUUUGGUCUUGUUUCUUUUAAAAUUGGGCAAAUUCCUAAAAUGGCCCAAUUAAUUAAGACCCAAAUUCCCCCAAAACAACCCCAAACCCGCCUGACCUGACCCGAACCAACUCAAAACCUAUCCCCUUUAAUCAAAACCUAGCACCUAGACCUAAAGAAUGAGAUCCCUUAAUUGAAGAACCCAACGCAACUUUCCCCUUUUCCCUUUUUCUUCUCACUCCCCCUUCAUCUCCCUUAAAAACCAGAGAAAACGGCAACACCAUGGUUCCCCUUUUCUUCUUCUCCAUUCCUCAUCUUCAACAGACAUACAUGCCCUCAUGAUCUGAUUUUUGCAUAUAAUUUUAGAGAACAACUAAAAUCGGCGAAAUCGAAAAAAAAGAAUUUGAAAGCUAUGGUUAAACUUCUACUCACUUGCUCUAUUUUUUUGAAAAUUCAAGUGUAAACAAAUUUGGGAAAGAGUUUAUGAAGCUAGGAGUAGGGGCUGAUUUCGUCGAUGAUUUCACUGCUGUCCAUGUAGCUGAUUUCCAACAUAGCAUCGGUUCUUUCAGCCUUUGUCCUGGCAUUUUUUCGAUUCUUAUUUGUGUUUCAGGUAUGAAUCUCGAUUUGAAAAUGCUAUAAUUGUUGUUAGAUGCUCCGUUGCGAUGAAAUUGUAACAACAGUUCCCUUGUUUCUCUUAAAUUCAUCAAUGUUUUGUGCGAGCUUAAACUAUUUUUUUGCUAAAAUUUGUCGGGAACGUACCCUUGUUUUAUGAUGUUCUGCUCCAUUUCUAGUACGGUUAACUCUUGCGAUUUGAAAUUUGCUUUCUGAAAUCCCCAUUUUAAUGAUCUUCUUCUGAUGUUGAUGCCUUUAAUUCGAUUUUGGAUUUGAUGUUUAUAGAUAAUCCUAUGUUAGUUAAUCAUUCUGGUGCUUUUAUCAUUUCCUCUCAUUGGUCAGCAUGGCCGUUGCUUAGUCAGUAGUGAAGCAGUUGAUAUAAAGGAUCUUGACGCAGGACAAUUCUUUGAACUCUGCUCCGGAAUAUGUGAUUUUUUAACAGCUGAAUGAAAAGACAAUUCUGUGAUAGUUUUGCCCUUAACUAUUUCCAUGACUGCAAUUAUGUGCUUGGACUUGAUGAAAAGACAUUUCUGUUAAAAGAAAACAUCUGAGUUGUAUUUUCAUGUUAUUGUUUUGUUGGCCUUGGAUUGCUGCAAUCUACAUAUUCCAAUUUUGAUGUUUAUUGAAUCUCAAGAGGUGUAACUCAGAUUUUCAAACUGACCCUUCAUCGGAAGAUCACUCAUAUGUCAUAGCAUGUAGGCGCCUGUAUGGGUGCUUCACUAAUGUUUAGAUGAGUUCUGUAGUUUCACAUUUAUUCCAUUCACUUAUUAGGACAUGACUUGCUAGUAAGUGAGCCUCAACUGUGAGGGAGGAGGCAAGAAGUAUGCUUUGGUGGAUUAGGGUUUUCAAUUCCUAUUCAUGUGCAAUUACCUGACACUUGGAUAAUGCUAUUAGUGUAUUUCAAACUUCUUAUUUGAUUUGUCAUACUUAGUGGGUUACCUUUAAUUAUUUAUUUUUCUUGUUUUUUUAAAUAUGUUUAACAACUGGACCUCAUAUUUGUGUUAGUAUGGGAAUUUGGGUAUAUAAGUACUAACUUGAAAGUUGAGUUUUAAUGGUAUUUCAAUUGCUAGAAAUUUGCAUCUUUUGUUGUUCUUUUUCAAUCAUUUUAUUGCUUGAAUUCCUUUUGGUUAAUAUUGAAGAUUUUGACAGAAUUUUGAAUAUUUGAUGCAUUCAAAAUGAAUGUCUUUCCUUCAUUGUCUCACUUGAUUAUUCAACAAAGUUGAAGGAACGAGAAUUUUGGGCUUUAUGUUUCAAGUGUAGUUGCUGAUUAGCUUAUGGAAACAGUGGUUGUCUCUGCUUGGUAAUCACACUGACUAUAUUAUCAUAGCAAUAAUAGUCUGCACUAGCAAUAAAUCAAAUAUCGUAGCUUGCUUUAGGCGCGAUUAAUAUACCAUCGUGAUUAUGGGUACG
rnacentral:lncRNA from 1 species